AUGCAAGUCGAGCGAAUGGAUUGAGAGCUUGCUCUCAAGAAGUUAGCGGCGGACGGGUGAGUAACACGUGGGUAACCUGCCCAUAAGACUGGGAUAACUCCGGGAAACCGGGGCUAAUACCGGAUAACAUUUUGAACCGCAUGGUUCGAAAUUGAAAGGCGGCUUCGGCUGUCACUUAUGGAUGGACCCGCGUCGCAUUAGCUAGUUGGUGAGGUAACGGCUCACCAAGGCAACGAUGCGUAGCCGACCUGAGAGGGUGAUCGGCCACACUGGGACUGAGACACGGCCCAGACUCCUACGGGAGGCAGCAGUAGGGAAUCUUCCGCAAUGGACGAAAGUCUGACGGAGCAACGCCGCGUGAGUGAUGAAGGCUUUCGGGUCGUAAAACUCUGUUGUUAGGGAAGAACAAGUGCUAGUUGAAUAAGCUGGCACCUUGACGGUACCUAACCA
rnacentral:rRNA from 1 species